UUAUAUAAAAUAUUUUGAAUAUUUAUAUAACAUUAACAUAAUUCAUAUUACUAUAUUUUUUAGUAUAUGAAAUUUUACUUUGAGAAAAUUAGAGUGCUUAAAGCAGGCAUAUGCCUUGAAUACUCCAGCAUGGAAUAAUAUUAAAGAUUUUUAUCUUUCUUAUUGGUUCUAAGAUAAGAAUAAUGAUUAAUA
rnacentral:rRNA from 1 species